rnacentral:rRNA from 1 species
CGACUACAUUAGAUACCCCCGUAGUCCUAGCCGUAAACGAUACUCGCUAGGUGUCGGCCACGGUGCGACCGUUGUCGGUGCCGUAGGGAAGCCGUGAAACGUGCCGCCUGGGAAGUACGGUCGCAAGGCUGAAACUUAAAGGAAUUGGCGGGGAGCACCACAACGGGUGGAGCCUGCGGUUUAAUUGGACUCAACGCCGGAAAUCUCACCGGAUAGGACAGACAUAUGAUAGUCGGGCUGAAGACUCUACUUGAUGAUCUG